rnacentral:rRNA from 1 species
GACGAACGCUGGCGGCGUGCUUAACACAUGCAAGUCGAACGGGUCUGCCCUGUUUUUUGCGGGGUGGGUCAGUGGCGAACGGGUGAGUAACACGUGAGUAACCUGCCCCUCACUUCUGGAUAACCGCUUGAAAGGGUGGCUAAUACGGGGUGUUCUGGCUGUGCCGCAUGGUGUGGCUGGGAAAGAUUCACUUUUGUGGUGUUUUGGUGGGGGAUGGGCUCGCGGCCUAUCAGCUUGUUGGUGGGGCGAUGGCCUGCCAAGGCUUUGACGGGUAGCCGGCCUGAGAGGGUGGGCGGUCACACUGGGACUGAGAUACGGCCCAGACUCCUGCGGGAGGCAGCAGUGGGGGGUAUUGCACAAUGGGCGGAAGCCUGAUGCAGCGACGUCGCGUGAGGGAUGGAGGCCUUCGGGUUGUGAACCUCUUUCGCCGGUGAAGAAGGUCCUGCUCUUUGUGGUGGGGUUGACGGUAGCCGGGUUAUGAAGCGCCGGCUAACUACGUG